GAUGAACGCUGGCGGCGUGCCUAAUACAUGCAAGUCGAGCGAACGGACGAGAAGCUUGCUUCUCUGAUGUUAGCGGCGGACGGGUGAGUAACACGUGGAUAACCUACCUAUAAGACUGGGAUAACUUCGGGAAACCGGAGCUAAUACCGGAUAAUAUUUUGAACCGCAUGGUUCAAAAGUGAAAGACGGUCUUGCUGUCACUUAUAGAUGGAUCCGCGCUGCAUUAGCUAGUUGGUAAGGUAACGGCUUACCAAGGCAACGAUGCAUAGCCGACCUGAGAGGGUGAUCGGCCACACUGGAACUGAGACACGGUCCAGACUCCUACGGGAGGCAGCAGUAGGGAAUCUUCCGCAAUGGGCGAAAGCCUGACGGAGCAACGCCGCGUGAGUGAUGAAGGUCUUCGGAUCGUAAAACUCUGUUAUUAGGGAAGAACAUAUGUGUAAGUAACUGUGCACAUCUUGACGGUACCUAAUCAGAAAGCCACGGCUAACUACGUGCCAGCAGCCGCGGUAAUACGUAGGUGGCAAGCGUUAUCCGGAAUUAUUGGGCGUAAAGCGCGCGUAGGCGGUUUUUUAAGUCUGAUGUGAAAGCCCACGGCUCAACCGUGGAGGGUCAUUGGAAACUGGAAAACUUGAGUGCAGAAGAGAAAAGUGGAGUUCCAUGUGUAGCGGUGAAAUGCGCAGAGAUAUGGAGGAACACCAGUGGCGAAGGCGACUUUCUGGUCUGUAACUGACGCUGAUGUGCGAAAGCGUGGGAAUCAAACAGGAUUAGAUACCCUGGUAGUCCACGCCGUAAACGAUGAGUGCUAAGUGUUAGGGGGUUUCCGCCCCUUAGUGCUGCAGCUAACGCAUUAAGCACUCCGCCUGGGGAGUACGACCGCAAGGUUGAAACUCAAAGGAAUUGACGGGGACCCGCACAAGCGGUGGAGCAUGUGGUUUAAUUCGAAGCAACGCGAAGAACCUUACCAAAUCUUGACAUCCUUUGACAACUCUAGAGAUAGAGCCUUCCCCUUCGGGGGACAAAGUGACAGGUGGUGCAUGGUUGUCGUCAGCUCGUGUCGUGAGAUGUUGGGUUAAGUCCCGCAACGAGCGCAACCCUUAAGCUUAGUUGCCAUCAUUAAGUUGGGCACUCUAAGUUGACUGCCGGUGACAAACCGGAGGAAGGUGGGGAUGACGUCAAAUCAUCAUGCCCCUAUGAUUUGGGCUACACACGUGCUACAAUGGACAAUACAAAGGGCAGCGAAACCGCGAGGUCAAGCAAAUCCCAUAAAGUUGUUCUCAGUUCGGAUUGUAGUCUGCAACUCGACCACAUGAAGCUGGAAUCGCUAGUAAUCGUAGAUCAGCAUGCUACGGUGAAUACGUUCCCGGGUCU
rnacentral:rRNA from 1 species